GCUCCCCUUUUAUGUUUGAAAUGUGAACGUCCCCACUCUCAUCCACUUUAAAUUCCCAAGCCUUUCAAAACCUUCAUGAGAACAUGUUGGCAGAGAAGCCAUCACAUCCGGUGGCGGUUUGAUGAUUUUCCGGCGAAUCUUGGCCACUAUAACUUUCAAGUGGACGAAGCAUAGAAUUAUUAGUACAACUGCAAAGGAUAUUUUAGAAUGUGCUGUCGAGCAUCGGUACGAGCACGUCAAUCAUAUUCCUUCUUUUUUUUUUUUUCCCAUCCCUUAAAUAAUGUGAUUACGGGCUGCCAUCAAACACAUUCUCAAGUCUCAACAAAACUAGCUGCACAAAAAAACUUCACCUAGUUACAACCUCUUUCAUUUCUUUUGUUUUCUCUAGGAAAACAUAAGUGACAGGCUAGGGUGAGUUGUUGAGGAUGGUGAAGUUUUCUAAGCAGUUUGAGGGUCAGCUUGUGCCUGAGUGGAAAGAGGCUUUUGUUGAUUACUGGCAACUCAAGAAAGACCUCAAGAAAAUCCAUCUCCUUAAUAACAACAACAAGAACACCCUCAUCAAGCACAGUCAUCAUAAAUCUUUGUCUAGCAACAUCCUUUCCUCUCUUAAGGGGGAGUUCUCUAUAUUUGGUCAUCAACACAAGGACCAUGAAGCCAUUCAUGUUCACAAGAAACUUGCAUCUUCAGCUAGUAAAGGUGAUAUGUACGAGACAGAACUGGUUGAACAAUUUGAGGAUAGUGAUGCUGCCAAAGAGUUUUUCUCAUGCUUGGACUUGCAACUUAACAAAGUUAACCAGUUUUACAGGACUAAGGAGAAAGAGUUCUUGGAUAGAGGGGAUUGCUUGAAGAAACAAAUGGAUAUUCUUGUUGAGCUCAAAGCUGCAUUCAAACAACAGCGCGACAAAGCUGCUAAUUCUGCUCAGGAUUCCACUGAGGAUGCCUCUAUUGAUUGCAGAAUCUCUUGUGAGGAAGAUUCAGUGACAGACAGAAUAGAACAAGAACAGAUUCAGGACGAAAGCACAGAUGGCUUGGAGAAAAAUGAAGUCCUAGACUCCCCAAGAUCAGAAGAGAUGGGAAAAUCAACAAGGAUCAUGAGAAGAGAGGUUAGCAAACUGAGGACACAUUCGGGCCGUGUUUUCAAUUGCCAAGGGAAGAAUUUAAGGAUAAACAUUCCUCUAACAACACCUUCUCGUACUUUCUCGGCGAUCAGUUACCUAGUUUGGGGAGAUUUAGUUAGUCAGUCCUCCAAGAAAUGCAACCCUGAAGGGAGCAAGCUGCAUAUCAACAAAACAAAGUUGCAUCAUGCAGAGAAGAUGAUCAAAGGAGGUUUCAUAGAACUCUAUAAAGGGUUGGGAUAUCUUGAAACUUACAGGAACUUGAACAUGCUUGCUUUUAUAAAGAUUUUGAAGAAAUUCGAUAAAGUAACUGAAAAACAAGUGCUUCCCAUCUAUCUAAAAGUUGUCGAAAGCUCCUAUUUUAACAGUUCAGACAAGGUAAUGAACUUAGCAGAUGAAGUUGAGGAUCUAUUUAUCAAACAUUUCGCUGAAGAAGACAGAAGAAAGGCCAGAAAAUAUCUUAAACCUCAUCAACAUACAGAAUCACACUCUGUGACCUUUUUCAUCGGACUGUUCACCGGGAGCUUCAUAGCCCUCCUUGUUGGUUAUGUAAUAAUGGCUCGUAUCACGGGGAUGUACAGACAGCAACCAGAUACAGCAUACAUGGAAACUGUCUAUCCUGUGCUUAGCAUGUUCAGCUUGAUGUUCCUGCACUUCUUUUUGUAUGGUUGCAACAUUUUAAUGUGGAGGAAAUCCAGGAUAAAUUAUAGCUUCAUCUUUGAGCUGGCCCCCACAAAGGAGCUAAAGUACAGAGAUGUAUUCUUGAUAUGCACCACAUCUAUGACUGCUGUGGUGGGAGUCAUGUUUAUUCAUUUGUCACUUCUUACGAAACGACAUUCGUAUUCCCAAGUUCAAGCCAUCCCAGGCCUUCUAUUAUUGAGCUUCCUGUUAUUGCUCGUGUGCCCCUUCAACAUUUGCUACCGAUCAAGUCGUUACAGCUUCCUUUGUGUGAUAAGGAACAUCAUUCUAUCACCUCUCUACAAGGUUGUCAUGCUGGACUUCUUCAUGGCUGACCAGCUUUGUAGUCAGGUGCCAAUGCUUCGGAACCUUGAGUAUGUGGCAUGCUAUUAUUUAACCGGGAGCUACAAAACUCAGGACUUUGGCUACUGCAUGAGGGCUAAGCAUUACCGUGAUCUUGCUUAUGCAGUAUCCUUUAUACCCUAUUACUGGAGAGCAAUGCAGUGUGCUAGGCGAUGGUUUGACGAAGGACAGAUAAAUCACCUUGUCAAUCUAGGCAAAUAUGUAUCAGCAAUGUUAGCUGCAGGAGCCAAAGUGGCCUAUGAGAGAGAAAAGAGUGUAGGAUGGCUGUGCCUUGUCGUAGUUAUCUCAAGCGCUGCAACAAUUUACCAAUUGUAUUGGGACUUCGUAAUGGAUUGGGGUUUACUCCAAAUGAAUUCCAAGAAUCCCUGGCUAAGGAAUGAAUUAGUGCUUCGUCGAAAGUUCAUUUACUACUUCUCCAUGGGAUUGAACCUUGUUCUCAGGCUUGCUUGGCUACAAACUGUUCUCCAUUCAAAUUUUGAACAUGUUGAUUAUAGAGUAACGGGACUGUUUUUAGCUUCCCUUGAAGUCAUCAGGAGAGGACAGUGGAAUUUUUACAGGUUGGAGAAUGAGCAUCUAAAUAAUGCUGGCAAGUAUAGAGCAGUCAAGACGGUGCCACUUCCUUUUCAUGAAGUGGAUGAAGAAGACUGAUGGCUAAUGUCUGACGAUGGUCACUGGCGGCAGUUGCUUUCAGAAUUCGAUUCCGAUUUGCUGCAGGGAUAGAGAAGGUUCAUAGUUGUCCUUGUACCGGUUGUAGCAAGACAUCAACUUGGACAUAAUUGUUCCAGGGAUAAAGAAGGUUCAUAGUUGUCCUUGUACCGGUUGUAGCAAGACAUCAACUUGGACAUAAUUGUUCCAGGGAUAAAGAAGGUUCAUAGUUGUCCUUGUACCGGUUGUAGCAAGACAUCAACUUGGACAUAAUUGUUCCAGGGAUAAAGAAGGUUCAUAGUUGUCCUUGUACCGGUUGUAGCAAGACAUCAACUUGGACAUAAUUGUUCCAGGGAUAAAGAAGGUUCAUAGUUGUCCUUGUACCGGUUGUAGCAAGACAUCAACUUGGACAUAAUUGUUCCAGGGAUAAAGAAGGUUCAUAGUUGUCCUUGUACCGGUUGUAGCAAGACAUCAACUUGGACAUAAUUGUUCCAGGGAUAAAGAAGGUUCAUAGUUGUCCUUGUACCGGUUGUAGCAAGACAUCAACUUGGACAUAAUUGUUCCAGGGAUAGAGAAGGUUCAUAGUUGUGUACAGGAUUUUCUUCAAGGAAAAGAAAAUCAUGCACAGAUCACCUACCCGAAUUUCUUGUUACUCAUUCUUGUCAAUACUUUCCUUGCCUUCUAUCUAGGUCCUGCAAAACACUGGACUGUGUUGAGAAGGAAUUUUUUAUAUCCAAAACUGAAGUAAUUUCUUGUUCAAUAUAUCUUUCUUUCUUUCC